AUUGAACGCUGGCGGCAGGCUUAACACAUGCAAGUCGAGCGGAGAUGAGGUGCUUGCACCUUAUCUUAGCGGCGGACGGGUGAGUAAUGCUUAGGAAUCUGCCUAUUAGUGGGGGACAACAUUCCGAAAGGAAUGCUAAUACCGCAUACGCCCUACGGGGGAAAGCAGGGGAUCUUCGGACCUUGCGCUAAUAGAUGAGCCUAAGUCGGAUUAGCUAGUUGGUGGGGUAAAGGCCUACCAAGGCGACGAUCUGUAGCGGGUCUGAGAGGAUGAUCAGCCACACUGGGACUGGGACACGGCCCAGACUCCUACGGGAGGCAGCAGUGGGGAAUAUUGGACAAUGGGCGGAAGCCUGAUCCAGCCAUGCCGCGUGUGUGAGGAAGGCCUUUUGGUUGUAAAGCACUUUAAGCGAGGAGGAGGCUACCUGGAUUAAUACUCUAGGAUAGCGGACGUUACUCGCAGAAUAAGCACCGGCUAACUCUGUGCCAGCCGCCGCCGUAACAC
rnacentral:rRNA from 1 species